rnacentral:rRNA from 1 species
GAUGAACGCUAGCGGCAGGCUUAAUACAUGCAAGUCGAGGGGUAGCAAGAUUGUAGCAAUACAAUUGUUGACGACCGGCAAACGGGUGCGGAACACGUACACAACCUUCCUACAAGUGGGGAAUAGCCCAGAGAAAUUUGGAUUAAUACCCCGUAACAUAGCGAUGUGGCAUCACAUUGCUAUUAUAGCUUCGGCGCUUGUUGAUGGGUGCGCGGCUGAUUAGAUAGUUGGCGGGGUAACGGCCCACCAAGUCUACGAUCAGUAGCUGAUGUGAGAGCAUGAUCAGCCACACGGGCACUGAGACACGGGCCCGACUCCUACGGGAGGCAGCAGUAAGGAAUAUUGGACAAUGGACGCAAGUCUGAUCCAGCCAUGCCGCGUGAAGGAUUAAGGUCCUCUGGAUUGUAAACUUCUUUUAUAAGGGACGAAAAAAGGUCUUUCUAGAUCGUCUGACGGUACCUUAUGAAUAAGCACCGGCUAACUCCGUGCCAGCCGCCGCAGUAACAC